ACCAGCUGAAACAGAAGAAGAAGAUAUCAUUUUCACAACCUUUUUUGGUGGUUCCUUUGGAGAAGAGAAGGUUGCAGUCAAGCAUUAAUGGCUCUUCGCUGCCUCUACCGACUGCAAGUUUGGAGACGUUUCAUCGCCGCCAAGGACAAGAAAACGGUAUUUUCGUACCAUUUCAAGCUAGAAAAACUUAUUCACAUAAAAUUAAAAAUAAAUGGUUUGUCAAGCAAAGCUUUCAACAUUAUUCACCAAGACUUUCAGCCUUACCUGAUGAUCAAAAGAGUGGGGAAAAGUUGUUGUACGAGCAAGAAAGGUUAGAGUACGAGAGUUCAUCAAGAUGUCAGGAUGGUAACACUAGCCAAACUGGCCUUUCGAAGGC